UAAAUGUGUCUCUAUGUUUUAUACGUAGGAGGGACCGUUCUAGCGAGCUUAGUGAGCCUGCAGCGAGGUAUGGCCUGUUCAACAGCUGGCGGCACUCACCACGCGUUCCCCGACCGAGGAGCCGGCUUCUGUCUGCUCAACGACCUGGCAGUGGCGGCCAAGUAUCUGCUCGAUCACAGACUCGCCGCCAAUAUUCUUAUAGUCGACCUCGAUGUGCAUCAAGGCGAUGGCACAGCUAAUAUUUUCAAAAACAACAAGAAUGUAUUCACAUUUUCAAUACAUUCUCGUAAGAAUUUUCCGUUUCGGAAAGAGCAAAGUGAUCUUGAUAUAGCUUUGGAGGAUGGAGUUGAAGAUGAUGAAUUUCUGAAUAUUUUACAGGAUAAUCUCAAUCAUAUUCUCUGUACAUUUCGACCAGACUUUGUACUCUAUGAUGCCGGAGUUGACCCACAUAAGAAUGAUCUUCUAGGAAAGCUGAACAUUUCUGAUAGUGGUUUGAUGAAGAGAGACUUAUUCGUACUGAGUGAAAUAGCAAAGAAAGGAAUCCCAAUAGCUUCAGUGAUCGGUGGUGGAUACUCUGACAGCAUCGACGAACUCGCCAAGAGACAUACGAUUCUACACAGAGCCGCAACCAAAGUGUGGAUGCAGUUCAACCGGCUUUGUUUAUGACAAACGAUCCCGUUUUAGCUUGCAUAAACAUGACUGGAUUGUUGCAAAUGUUUUUAAAUUGAUUGAGUGCUAAGCGUGCAAUAAGAGUGAUGCUCAUGUCCAUGGUCGAACACAUUGUAAACCUCUAUUCCAACAAAUGAAAAUAUUAACUGUCUCUGCUAUCUAUGCUUUUGAGUGUUUAAUGUAUAUAAAGAAGAAUCUGGCAUUUAUUCCUUUGAAUAAUACUGUUCAUAAUCAUUUUACUAGGAAUGCGUCUGCUCUUAGAGUGAAUCAAUGUAAUUAUUCAUACACACUAAAUGGUUUUAUUGAGUAUGGCAUCAGACUGUUUAAUAAUUUACCUGAUAACAUUAAAUGUCUAGAGACUAAAUGUUUUAAGAAUAGAAUAAAAACUUUCCUUGUUGAAAAAUGUCCAUACAAUAAAAAUGAACUGUUAGAUAAUAUGUGAUACAUAAUCUGUGAUCUUAUGACUGUUUUAACUUAUCUGUUUUAUAUAUGUUUUGACUUUGUUAUGCAUUUUGAAAAAAUGUUACAGCAAAAAAAGAAUUUGAUUUGAUUUAGUCACUCCUAGUAAUCAGUGAGUAAACACUACAACUACAAAAAAGUUUUCAAAAAUUGUGCAUAAUAAGUAAGGAGUUGAAAUAAGUUAGGGAGUUCACUAAUUAAAUAAAAU